GACGAACCGUGCGAACGUUAUUCGGAAUCACUGGGCGUAAAGGGCGCGUAGGCGGCCCUCUAAGUCGAACGUGAAAUCCCCGGGCUCAACCCGGGAACUGCGUCCGAUACUGGAAGGCUUGAAUCCGGGAGAGGGAUGUGGAAUUCCAGGUGUAGCGGUGAAAUGCGUAGAUAUCUGGAGGAACACCGGUGGCGAAGGCGACAUCCUGGACCGGUAUUGACGCUGAGGCGCGAAAGCCAGGGGAGCAAACGGG
rnacentral:rRNA from 1 species